GAUGAACGCUGGCGGCGUGCCUAAUACAUGCAAGUCGAGCGAACAGACGAGGAGCUUGCUCCUCUGACGUUAGCGGCGGACGGGUGAGUAACACGUGGAUAACCUACCUAUAAGACUGGGAUAACUUCGGGAAACCGGAGCUAAUACCGGAUAAUAUAUUGAACCGCAUGGUUCAAUAGUGAAAGACGGUUUUGCUGUCACUUAUAGAUGGAUCCGCGCCGCAUUAGCUAGUUGGUAAGGUAACGGCUUAGCAAGGCAACGAUGCGUAGCCGACCUGAGAGGGGGAUCGGCCACACGAGAGCGGAGACACGGUCCAGGCUCCUACGGGAGGCAGCAGUAGGGAAUCUUCCGCAAUGGGCGAAAACCUUACGGAGCAACGCCGCGUGAGUGAUGAAGGUCUUCGGAUCGUAAAACUCUGUUAUUAGGGAAGAACAAAUGUGUAAGUAACUAUGCACGGCUUGACGGUACCUAAUCAGAAAGCCACGGCUAACUACGUG
rnacentral:rRNA from 1 species